rnacentral:rRNA from 1 species
UACAUGUGGGGCAAGCGUUGUUCGGAAUUACUGGGCAUAAAGGGUGCGUAGGCGGCUUGUUAAGUCAGGGGUGAAAGUUUUCGGCCCAACCGGAAAUUGCCUUUGAUACUGGCGAGCUCGAGUGCGUGAGGGGUAACCGGAACGAGUCGUGUAGCGGUGAAAUGCGGUAGAUAUGACUCGGAAGGCCAACGGCGAAGGCAGGUUACUGGUACGCAACUGACGCUGAGGCACGAAGCGUGGGAGCAAACAG